AGCAGGCAGAUUCAAUUUUCUGCCACCGAAUACAUUAGCAUGGGAUAAUGGAAUAGGACCCUGUCCUCCUAUCUUCAGUUGGUUAACUUGUAGAGGAUCAGGGUAAUGAUUAAUAGGGAUAGUUGGGGGCAUUAAUAUUUAAUUGUCAGAGGUGAAAUUCUUGGAUUUAUGAAAGAUUAACUUCUGCGAAAGCAUCUGCCAAGGAUGUUUUCAUUAAUCAAGAACGAAAGUUAGGGGAUCGAAGACGAUCAGAUACCGUCGUAGUCUUAACCAUAAACGAUGCCGACCAGCGAUUAGGAGACGUUGAAUACAAAACACCACCAUACAUAAUUCAGUGCUUGGCCGGUCAAAUGGUUGUGUAUUGUUUGUGU
rnacentral:rRNA from 1 species